rnacentral:rRNA from 1 species
UAGGCUGGGUGUGUAAGCGUAGCGAUACGUUGAGCUAACCAGUACUAAUGAACCGUGAGGCUUAACCUGACAACACCGAAAGUGUUUUG